ACUUUCAAAGAAAGGAAUCCUUUUACCCACCUUCGUUCCCUCAUAAGGCGUGACUAUAAACCAGCAUGUCCAGACAGCAGGAGUUCAUCUGUGGCCUCUCGCAAAAGGUGACCAUGGCUGUUCUCCCCAAACUGAACACGGAGGAGCUGAGAUUUGAACUCAACAGAAGGAAUCAAAACCUGGACAAAGAGAACAGCAGCAAGGAAAGGUCCAUCAGCAACCUUAGGGAUGUGAUGUUGGAGGAAUACCGCCAAUUGGAAGAAAGGUCGGUGGUAGAAGAAGGCUCUCCAAAUCAAACCAGUGUGCCUGGACAUGAACCUGAACAUGGACAUGAACCUGAACAAAAGACAGAAACCAUACAAGAGAAAGUUCCAACCGCGUACGCUGAAACAGGGCAAACAAAGUUGUUGGGUCCUACAAGGCACAAGAGGCGUCACACCCGUGAGAGACCCUACAGUAAUGUCAAGAGUGUGACUACAAGUCAAUAGAUAAGUCCAACCUCGUCAGGCAUAUGAGAAAGAAACACCAGUGAAGCUUAGCAACGAGAAAUACUGCCAUACAUAUUUUGGGUAGAAACCUUUUUUCUUGUUCAUUUAUUUCCUUUUUUUAGCUAACUAGUAACCAGAUAUAAAACGUG